rnacentral:rRNA from 1 species
UACGUAGGGUGCGAGCGUUGUCCGGAAUUAUUGGGCGUAAAGAGCUUGUAGGCGGUUUGUCGCGUCUGCCGUGAAAAUCCGGGGCUCAACCCCGGACUUGCGGUGGGUACGGGCAGACUAGAGUGUGGUAGGGGAGACUGGAAUUCCUGGUGUAGCGGUGAAAUGCGUAGAGAUCAGGAGGAAUACCGAUGGCGAAGGCAGGUCCCUGGGCUGACACUGACGCUCACGCACGAAAGCGUGGGGAGCAAACAGG